AGCUCCAAUAGCGUAUAUUUUAGUUGUUGCAGUUAAAAAGCUCGUAGCCGUAUUUCUGGUGGGAGAAUGCAGUCCGACUUUAUGUCGGUACUCGCAUCCUCCGGCCAUCCUUGGGUCUAGCCAGUUUGGCAUUAAGUUGUCGAGCUGGGGAUGCCCAUCGUUUACUGUGAAAAAAUUAGAGUGUUCAAAGCAGACUUAUGUCGUUGAAUAUAUUAGCAUGGAAUAAUAAAAUAGGACAUCAGUGCUAUUUUGUUGGUUUGCGCACCGAUGUAAUGAUAAAUAGGAACAGUUGUGGCUAUUCGUAUUCAGUUGUCAGAGGUGAAAUUCUUAGAUUUACGGAAGACGAACUACUGCGAAAGCAUUUACCAAGGAUGUUUUCA
rnacentral:rRNA from 1 species